AGUGAACGCUGGCGGCGUGCCUAAUACAUGCAAGUCGAACGGAGUGGCGCACGGGUGAGCAAUAUAUAGCCAAUCUGCUACUUUCUGGAGUACAACAGUUAGAAAUGACUACUCAUACUCCAAAGCAAGGGAUGAGACUAUAUCGUAUCAGCUAGUCGGUGGGGUAACGGCCUACCUAGGCUAUGACGCGUAACUGGUCUGAGAGGAUGAUCAGUCACAUUGGAACUGAGACACGGUCCAAAGUCCGACGGGAAGGAGCAGUAGGGAAUAUUGCGCGAUGGGGGAAACCCUGACGCAGCAACGCCGCGUGGAGGAUGACACUUUUCGGAGCGUAAACUCCUUUUGUUAGGGAAGCGGUACCUAACGAAUAAGCACCGGCUAACUCCGUGCCAGCCGCCGCGGUAAUUC
rnacentral:rRNA from 1 species